rnacentral:rRNA from 1 species
AUGAAGGCCCUCUGGGUUGUAAACUUCUUUUAUCUGGGACGAAACCCUCAUAUUCUUAUGAGACUGACGGUACCAGAGGAAUAAGCACCGGCUAACUCCGUGCCAGCAGCCGCGGUAAUACGGAGGGUGCAAGCGUUAUCCGGAUUCACUGGGUUUAAAGGGUGCGUAGGCGGGCAGGUAAGUCAGUGGUGAAAUCUCCAAGCUUAACUUGGAAACUGCCGUUGAUACUAUCUGUCUUGAAUACUGUGGAGGUGAGCGGAAUAUGUCAUGUAGCGGUGAAAUGCUUAGAUAUGACAUAGAACACCAAUUGCGAAGGCAGCUCACUACACAGCCAUUGACGCUGAGGCACGAAAGCGUGGGGAUCAAACAGGAUUAGAUACCCUGGUAGUCCACGCCCUAAACUAUGGAUACUCGACAUACGCGAUACACAGUGUGUGUCUGAGCGAAAGCAUUAAGUUCCCACCUG